rnacentral:rRNA from 1 species
GACGAACCGUGCGAACGUUAUUCGGAAUCACUGGGCUUAAAGGGCGCGUAGGCGGGUCCGUAAGUCAGGGGUGAAAUCCCACGGCCCAACCGUGGAAGUGCCUUUGAUACUGCGGGCCUCGAGGGGGAUAGGGGCGUGCGGAACUCAGGGUGGAGCGGUGAAAUUCGUAGAUAUUCGCAAGAACACCAGUGGCGAAGGCGGCUUACUGGUCCGGUUCUGACGCUGAGGCGCGAAAGCGUGGGGAGCAAACAGG